UACAGAGACUGCAAGCGUUAUUCGGAUUCACUGGGCGUAAAGGGUGCGCAGGCGGCCAAGUGUGUUAGGCGUGAAAGCCCGGGGCUUAACCCCGGAAUUGCACCUAAAACUACAUGGCUAGAGCAUUGGAGAGGGUAGCAGAAUUCACGGUGUAGCAGUGAAAUGCGUAGAUAUCGUGAGGAAUACCAGAGGCGAAGGCGGCUACCUGGACAAUUGCUGACGCUCAGGCACGAAAGCGUGGGGAGCAAACAGG
rnacentral:rRNA from 1 species